GCCUGGAUGGCUCAGUCGGUUGAGCAUCCAACUUCAGCUCAGGUCAUGAUCUGGCUGGUUGUGGGUUUGAGCCCUGCUUUGGGCU
rnacentral:tRNA from 1 species